AUGUGAUCCUAAAAUUCUAUCCCUUAACAAGAAGAAUUAUUUCGGUCAUGGAAUAAAAAGAUCCAAAGUUGAAGAUUAUCAUCCAAGCAUGCGAUAGUGGAAAAUGAAGAGAUCCUCCACUAAGCAUAUGAAAGUGGUGCACUAAGCAAUAAAAGAGCACCACUAUCUCUUCUUUUAUUUUGCAUUUUCCUUGUAAUAAUUCAGCCCCACUAUCAUGAUAGUUAGUAGCUGAAAUCCUUUUGUUUUCUUAGGAGUUACUUUUUGCUUAUUACAUNNN
rnacentral:lncRNA from 1 species